rnacentral:rRNA from 1 species
AGUGGCGAACGGGUGAGUAACGCGUAAGAACCUGCCCUUGGGAGGGGAACAACAACUGGAAACGGUUGCUAAUACCCCGUAGGCUGAGGAGCAAAAGGAGAAAUCCGCCCAAGGAGGGGCUCGCGUCUGAUUAGCUAGUUGGUGAGGCAAUAGCUUACCAAGGCGAUGAUCAGUAGCUGGUCCGAGAGGAUGAUCAGCCACACUGGGACUGAGACACGGCCCAGACUCCUACGGGAGGCAGCAGUGGGGAAUUUUCCGCAAUGGGCGAAAGCCUGACGGAGCAAURCCGCGUGGAGGUGGAAGGCCUACGGGUCGUCAACUUCUUUUCUCGGAGAAGAAACAAUGACGGUAUCUGAGGAAUAAGCAUCGGCUAACUCUGUGCCAGCAGCCGCGGUAAU